rnacentral:lncRNA from 1 species
ACUCCUGUGACUGCAGUCCGCUGUACAUCUAAGAGUGUGUCACUCCCACGGCCAAGGCUGAGGUAGGAAUGGCUGGAACAGAUGAGAUGGCUGGGAUUCUCUCUCCAUAUGGCCUUCCAUCCUGGGCUUCAUCCAGGCUCAAGAAACUGGAGGAAAAGAAAGAAAAGGAAAGAAGAAAAAGAAAAGAAAAGAAAAGAAAACAAAAGAAAAGAAAACAAAAGAAAAGAAAAGAAAAGAAAGAAAAGAUUUCAAACCCAUUAGGUCAUUUUAUGAUUGAGGUCAGAGAAACUCAAUCCCUCCAUAGUCCACAGGGCUUAAAGUGAACUGGUAUUUGCCAACAAUUUUCUAGCCCCACAUUAAAAAACACACAUUAUUGAAAUAUACUUUACAUACGUUAAAUGCAUCCCAUUAAAGCAGUGGUCCCCAACUUUUUUGGCACCAGGGACAAGUUUUCCACAGACACAAGGGGUGAGGGGCUUGAAGAGGCUGGUUUCAGGAUGAUUCAAAGAAAUGCACAAGCUGGAUCUCUCCCACGGGCAAUUCACAGGAAGGGUUUGUGCUCCUAUGAGAAUCUAAUGUCGCUGCCGAUCUGACAGCAGGCGGAGCUCAGGAGGAAUGUGAGCCAUGGAAAGCGGCUGCAAAUCCAGAUGAAGCUUCCCUCACCAGCCUCUGCUCACCGCCUGCUGUGCAGCCCUGUCCUAACAGGACCCUUACUGGUGUCCCCUGGCUUAAAGUGCAGUGACUUUUGUAUAUUCACAGAUAGGUGCCAUCAUCAGUAUAGUCAAUUUUAGAACACUUUCAUCGCCUCAGAAAGAAAUUGGACUGUUGAGCAAUCACAACUCUUUUUGCCCCAUCCCAUCACCAAGCAACCACUCAACCACUUUCUGUUAUUAUAGAUUUCUGACAAAUGUGAUGUCUUGAGACUGGCUUUGUUUACUUGGCAAAAUGUUUGUAAGGAUCGUACAUAUGAAUCAGCUCGUCUUUCCUCUGUAAUAAUGGAUUGAUAAUAUCCCAUUGUGUAGCUAGAUCAAGUUUUGUUUAUUCAUUUACCGUAAGAUAGACUUUUGUGCUGUUUCCGUUGUUUGGCUAUUAACCUAGCUCUGAACAAUCAUGUGCACAUCUUUGUAUGAACAUAUGUUUUCUGUUACUGUGGAAAGACAUUGCUAAGUUAUACUUUUACUUUUUGAGAAACUGCCAGACUAUAUUCCAAAGUUGUUGUAUCACUUGACAGUUUCACCAGUGGUGUAGAAAGGUCCUAAUUUCCCCACAUCCUGUCAACACUUAUUAUUAUCUUUUAUUUUAUAUUUAUUUAUUUAGUUAUUGGUAUGGGAAUUGAACUCAGG